GGAGCCAGGAGAUGGAUCAUGGUUAAGAGCAUUUGCUUCUCUUGCAGAGGACCUGCAUUCAGCUCCAAACACCUGCACAAGGUAGUUUACGUCUGUGUAGCUUCAGUUCAGGGGAAUUAUGAGGAAUCCCUUUUCUAUCUUCUGUAGCCACUAGAUUCACAGAAGGGACACAUACAUAACAUGCAGACGAUCACUCUAACACACAAAAUAAAAAUACUCUUAUAAAAGGUGGAUACAGGAGAAUUUGGAAUGCAAUCCCAUCCCUGGAAAGUCAGAAACAGAAGAAUCCCUUGGGUUCACUGAGCAGUGAAUCUAGUCAAUUGUGAGCUCUACAUUGAGCAAGAGGCUUUGUAUCAAGAAACAAAGUAGAGGGUGAUUGAGGAAGACACAUAUGUCUUCUGACAUUGAGCCCCCCCUCUCUUUCUCUCUCUCUUCCUCUCCCUCAUCUCCCCCCCUCUCUGACUCUCUGUCUCCCUCUCUCAUACUCUCACACAAACAUACACACAAGAACAUAUAUAAUCUCUUGUAAUUGUGUGUCAGAAUUAACUCUGGAAAUGUGAGAAAACACAGAAAGUCGGUUUCAGUAAGGGUACAGUAUCUCAUAAGCCCACCCGCCACAUCUACAGGAGCUUUUAUCAAGACAUAAUAGGAUGCUAGAGAACUAAUUAUAGUAUCAUUUUUCAAACAUGACACUCUGUGGAGUUCAUAUUAAUUUAUUCCUUCAAUAAGUGUUUUAUGAAUGCAAACUUGACGAAAGUCACUGAACUAUGUGUUAAAGAUGAGAAAAGGAAAGUGUGAGAUCAAAGCCCUGCCCACCAAUGUCUUCUCGUCCAAUUAGAGAAAACUCAUAAUGCAAAAUUAUAUCUGAGGAACACAAGGGGUGUGACUGAGUGAAUGCUGUGGGUCUUAGAAUUCCAAGGCAGAAGAGCUAAUGAACACAUUAAAAAGAGGUGAGAUUUCAGUCAGCUUCUAAGAAGUGAGGGGAAUAGAGUCCAGAAUAAGCUUGGCGUCAGAAACGGGCUUUGUUUCAAAGUGGGAUUCCCAGCCCUGUAAAGAAGAAUGUCUAUCCUGGCAAGAAAUGCAUUAACAAGGCAGGAGGCAGUGUCACUGGUGGAGAUGCUUGCAGGGGCCUGGGCAUGAACUUGGCAUCAUGAGGCUGAGGAGCAAGGGAGUUGUGAAGACAGUUAAGACCGGCUCUUCCCUGAGUUAGAGACAAGGUCUCACUAUUCAGAAAGGUACAGACAUGGCACCGUGAUAAAAAGGGUCAUUUAAAAGGCUUCACAGAGGCUCUGUACUGUGAAGGAUUGAAUUCUCACUUGAAUGCCUACAUUUUCACAUCGUUUUCUUUGCAGAAAUAUUCCUUUUGAAUGGCAGACUGCAAUUGGGUAGGUUUUUUUUAAGUCACUGACCAGGAAUAUAUAAUAUUAGAAAGCACUUGUCCCGGAGGAAGAACACAGCUCACUGAGAGGUAUGAGGUGUUAUUAAAGAAGUUAUACAACUUUUCUUUUCAUAUUGGAGGGUUGCUUUUGACAAGAACCUCAAGUUCAGUCAAGGUGGAACAUGAAGGUUUAAGACUUGCACAGGGUAGACAAUUUAAAUAACUUAUGAUAUUAUUAGCCCCAAACCCAUCCACUGGGCAAUUUUUCAUAAUCACUUUGAAUGUGUACUUUUAUCGACACACCGUGCUGACUCUAGUUUGUUUCAUCUAUCUGAUUCCCACGACACUUGAUCACAAUUAUUUGAAAAAUGUUUAUAGCUAAUUUUCAAAGCCUUUCAACUUUUCUUAGCACUUUUGUCUUCCCCAAAUACACUUCAACGAAGAAGACAGAAGUCUUUUAAAUAAAUACAGUAAGACAUUUAACCUUAGUUAUUAAAUUCUGUGUGGAGUUAAUGUUAAUUCAAUUCAGUUGAAUGCACCAACUAUUUCUUGAUCUCCUACUGUUGGUAAGGAAUUACACCAGGAUUAUGAAAAGGUAUAAAAAUAAAUAAAACAUCUUUAUCUUUAAGAUUUCUACUGUCUUGGGAAAAGCAUAAGAAUUUCAGGAAUAAUAAAAGGUAGAAAACCGUGAGUCAGAUCAGGAAGUUACAAACUUUUUGUCUAACUCAAUGAGUGAGAUUUGUUUGACCUGAGUUAAGGAAGACCAUAAAGAAGAACAUGAUUAAAUACAACUUGGAAAUGAUGUAUUCUUUGGGGAUAGCAGUUACAGAUGGGCAGGAAUAAUAUGAUAGAAAUUAUUCAUCCUAGACAGAAAGAUGGUAAGAGAAAAAAAUCAAGGCGGGAAGAUAGAGGCUUUUAUCUAUGCUAGAAAGUUGCUGGGCUGGGUGUAACCUAGCAUGCUUGAGAAGGAUGUGGAAAUCAAGUGUGCACCUAAGCCAACACUUGAUUGGUUUGCUAGUACUUUGGUUGUGAUUUUACAGGCCACGGGGAAUUUUUGAGCCAGAGAGUAUCUUUCAGGAUUGUGAACUAAAUCAGAAGAAUACAGAAAUCACCAAAAAUACAUUGUAUUCAUGUCCAUUUGGGGACCAAACUAAAUUGUUAAGAAACUCCAUACUGAUUCUGUGAUGCUAAGUCUAGUGGAAAUUGCAUAAUGUUAUGCUAUAAAAAUACUUACAAUUACUUCGGAGCUAUAUGAGAACCCAGAAGAAAUUUACCUUCACUUGAAAGCAGAAGGAUGCCUUGUUCAUAUACCACAGCAAAAAUGAUGGAAAGGCAUUUCUUGGGCUUUAAAGCCUGCCUAAAAUAAGAGUCAUUUAUUUAUAAAUCUUGGUAUCUAGGAAUGCUAUAAGGUUGAAAAUGCUUGGUUUAGUUCAAAAAGACUGAGUGGUUCUCAAAUAAAGCAUUCUGUAGGUUUCACUGACAAAUUCAAAUUUAUUUCCUCUCCACCAUUCUCACAGCUAAUCAAUAGGCACUUGCAUUUUACAAAGUUAAGCUGUAAUUAAUGAAAACAAAGAUAAACAUAGUCCUUUAUAAAUCUUAUGUUACUAUUACUCUUAAAAAAUAGAAAAUAAGUUCUAUUUUUUAAUGACACCUUUGAAACAAAGGGUAAAAAACAAUACAAAUUGUGAAUUUCAUCUAAAAGUUUGUUUUAGAUAAGACAGAUUAUUGUACAUAAUAUUAAGACAAUUGGAAAAUGAGCCCAAGUUAAUCUGAUGGAGAAACAGGUCAGUUGUGUAUAGUGUACACAUGCGAUUACAAGAUCUAAUGUGUUCUAUUCAUUUAAUAGCACAUAAAUAUUAUUCAAUAAAUUGCCAAUUAGUUAGCCAUUAUGACAGUUAUAGCAUACAAUCUGUCAUGAAAUAAUUGAAUCAUUUCCAUUCUCAAACUUAGAGUAGGCAGAUACAAUGGAAAAGAGGAAGGGCAACAAGAUGAUAAACUUAUAGCUAUAUCUUCUGUUCAUAUAUAAAAAUAGAUAAGCUUCCAUAUUUGAGCAUAUGUGGCACUAGUCUUUUUCAUUGACAAGGAAACCAUUUCAGUUUUCUUAAACAUGAGAGUAAUAUCAUUAGUUUAGAAGCUGUACCUUGGCUUGGAGAUGUUGACAUCAUCCCACAAAAUUUACGUCCAAUUAUGUUGAAAUUGCUACAACAAAAAAAUACAAUCUAGCAAGGAAAAUAUUUGAUAAGCUUGUCAGUGUAGUAUAGUGACAGAUAUUGCAGAAGCCAAAAAGUUAGAUAAUUCAUUAUGCCUCAAAUCUCAUGGUCUUCUUCAUUCUCGUGUUCAGAAGAAUCUAAGCUAAGCAUUCUUAAAUCUAUAUAAAUUCUAUAUUAGCUCUGCUUUAUAAGAAAUAUUCUUUUACUAAUGUUUUAUGUUUAUUUAAAUCUCCAAAACAUGUGGUCAGGCUGGGAAUACCUAGUACAAUAUAGUCAUUUUUGUUAAAUUUUUGUGACAUUAAAGCUUUCUUGUUAUCCAUACAUUUAUAGAAUUUAAUCUACGUCCUUGUCUACUCUCUCCCCAGAUGAGAGCUAAUACAACUCAUUAUUGUCCUGGCACCCUCUGCAGGAUGGUAGACCUUUAUUUCCCAAUGUUUUACUCCUGCCUCCUACUAUUUCCUGGCUCCUUUUGUUUCAUUUUUCUAUCCUUUUCCAUAUUUUUUUGUCUCUUUGAGUAGUGCUGCCACAGAAAUCCUUAUUUUUUGGUACAGGGUGUGUGUGUGUGUGUGUGUGUGUGUGUGUGUGUGUGUGUGUGUGUGUUUGUGUGUGUGUGUGUCUGUCUGUCUGUCUGUCUGUCUGUUUGUCUGUGUGUCUAUGAGUGUGUGUGUAUGUCUGUCUGUGUGUGUAUGUGUGUCUG